UACGUAGGUGGCAAGCGUUGUCCGGAAUCACUGGGCGUAAAGCGCGCGCAGGCGGCGAUCUACGUCUGGGGUGAAAGCCCGGAGCUCAACUCCGGGACUGCCUUGGAUACGGGAUCGCUUGAGGGUUGGAGAGGCAAGGGGAAUUCCACGUGUAGCGGUGAAAUGCGUAGAUAUGUGGAGGAACACCUGUGGCGAAGGCGCCUUGCUGGCCAAUUUCUGACGCUGAGGCGCGAAAGCGUGGGGAGCAAACAGG
rnacentral:rRNA from 1 species